rnacentral:tRNA from 1 species
GGGCGUGUAGCGCAACUGGUAGGAGGCAAUAGACUUAGGAUCUAUACAGUGGAGGUUCGAAUCCUCUCACGCCCA